rnacentral:snRNA from 1 species
AUCUUUGCGCUUGGGGCAAUGACGCAGCUUAUGAGGUAAUAACCGAGGCGCGUCUAUUGCUGGUUGAAAACUAUUUCCAAACCCCCUCUCAGGCCCGGCUUUCAGGGCCACUGAGAAUUUCUGGAAGGGCUCCUUCUCUUCGGGGAGGGUAAAGCCCAACAAAUUCUU